UCCAAGUCUUAAGAAUUCAACCAAGUUAGCUAACUACAUUUCUAGCUUAGUCCAGCUUAUUCUACACAAGUCCUUAAACACAAGGGUGCCAAGUUAGGAUAUUUAAAUUAGCCUCCAUCUUCUCUAGCUUUCUGGUGCCCUACCAGCAACAUAUUCCUGCAGCACACUGCUUAUCAUUUUUACAAGUCAGAGCAAGUGAGCCCCUUGCCCUCCAACGCUGCAUAAGUAUUAUAAUUACUUGGCUCAGACUGAAGUCACCUCUACUGUGUUUCUCCUAACUGUGCUCGUUUGUUGAGAUCUGUUGAAAUUCAGUCAGCAGUGUGGGCGUGCCAUUGAUGACACUGAGGCUUCCUUUCUAUUGAAAUUGCCAGCAAAAUAUUUUGCCCAUAAAUAAUGUUUCAUCUAGACUUGCAAAUGACAGCCAACACUGCAGCCUCUUUUUUUUCCCCUUUGUUUCCUUCUUUCUGAAGGGAAUCUGCAAGAAGAAAGCAAAACUAAAGUGAAAUGUAGAGGGUUUUUUUUUUCCUAUGGGGUUAGAAGGAGACUGUCAGUGAGGAUGUCAAGAUACAUUUGGUUGUAUAAAACAGGUAUUCUGACAGACGAGACGGAGUGGUCUUGUUAGGCCAUGCUCGCAGAAUUCCCUGAGCUAGCUUGUGUGGCUCAGGAUAUCCUGAAGAGACGCUCCGGGUCAGUUGCCAAGAACAAUCCAGACCCAGAUCCAGGGUCUAAAAGAGAGGAUUCAGAUAGCCCAGGAGCUAAAAUAGGGGCAGGAUAAGAACUUUCCUCGAAGUCAAAUCUACCUGAGAGGAAUUUUCACUUAUAAUUAGGAAGGCAGGGGAGGAAAGAGUUCACUGAGAGCACCCUUGUUUCACAUGUUGUCUACAUACAGCACGGGAGACAGAAGAAAGAACCCAGGCUGAAAACUAGAGAAAAGGAAAUCAAUAGGCACCGGAGAAAGUCAGUCGACCUUCUCUUGCCUGUCUCUGAUAAUGAAUGUGUCGUCUCCGCUCAUUCUUCACUGUUCUUCGCACCUCUGUGGAACUGCGCAGCAUCUGUAGGCUUCCUUAGCUCUUCACAUAACUUGGUUAGUAGUCAUGUUUUCAUAACGAACCUCUCUUUGAAGAAGAGGGCUUUCUGUAAUGGUGCUAACCAUUGUGUGUCUAAUUACAACGUGCUUUACUUCGGAUCUGGCACCAAACUCACUGUAGAGCCAAGUAAGUUAUUGUUACCCACCCAUUAUGCUAAAUUCCUCUACUCGCUCUAUAUUUGCUUUGAGUUCUCUUUAGCUUGGAUCCUUGUCCAAUGUUGUAUCAGUCACUCCUUGUCCCUAUCUCUUGAGCAGAUAUAAAUGGAGCAAACAAAUCCUAGGAUUCCAUUAACACUCUGAGACAGACAACUGUGUUCUUGACAUCCUCCAGAAGGAAGGUUUCCAAAGUAAGGGAAGUCACUACUUUUACUAAUUAACACACAAAGAAGCUGGAGAUAACUGAAAGUACCAGUGAAUACCUAGGAUUUCAGAAAGCAGACAUGGCUCAGUGUAUGCAUUCAUAAAAGAUUCCAUAGCUAACAUUUAUUGAAUAUUUGCUAUAUGCCUGUGUAAAUGCCCCUUGUACCUUAUCUCAUUUAAGGGGCUGAUGGCCCUCUGGGGCAGAUUUUAUCCCACUUUCAAAGGUAAAGUUGAAAUUGUAACCAAAUGGUUAAGAGAAAAUGGAGGACCAAGCUAGACCAGCAGCAGGCCUGGAUGUCCCCACUGCGGCCUCUCACAACCAGGGUCUUGCUGAGGUUUGUACAGAAUGAAAUAGCCUGUGGUUCUGGUAACUACAAGCUCGGUGUUGAGUCAGUAACCAUGAUGUCUGUAAGAGCAGGGUGUGAGAUGAGACUCUCUGUGCUUUCUGGAUUCAGACACUUUAAAACAAAAUGGUGAAUGUGUACAUGAGCAAUUUCACUCAGGAAGUAUGGUAAAUGGCCAAUAAACAAAUUUAAAAAGAUCCUCCCUUUGGGUUAGAAUCCUAGCCUUUCUCCACCCCUCUUUCCUCCCUUCCCACCUUCCUCAGCAGCUGGACUUUCAUCUCAGGGAAACCCUUACAUCGAUGUCUUUGUUGAUGACGAAGUCAGAUAAAAAACUGAGAAAGGUUGUCUCCGGGUCAUACCAAGAAUCUUAGAAGAUAACUCUUUUUCCAAUAUUUGAAGAACUCUUGUGUAGAUAAUGGAAGAGGUUGACACCAAAGGCAGAAUCAAAAGCAGUAGAUGAAAAGGCGUCCCAGCUUCUCCGGGAUGCUACUGAACGGUGCAGUGGGCGGGCAGGCUCCACUGUGAAGUCUGGAGAGUGCCCUUCAAGGCCUUCACUCUGGGUCCUCAGGACUAAGGUGGAGGGCAUUGUGGAAGGAGUUUCUGUGGCAUUUUAGACUUUGGAUAUCCUGUGAACUCGAAGUGCUAAGACCCCAUGACCCUAGCAUAGAAGAUAAAAGGGUGGGCUACAUCUGUUUUUUUCUAUUCUUAUUAUUUUGAUAGCCAAGAAACAGGCCAUCAAAUUGUUCACAAGCUGAGGCCUACAGAGAUUUUUUUACACUUAGAAGAUAAAGAACUAUGAUUUCUCAGUGCAGUAAAUGGGGAAAGAAGAGGAGAGAGAGAGAGAGAGAGAGAGAGAGAGAGAGAGAGAGAGAGAGAGAGAGAGAGAGAGAGAGAGAAAUGCCUUGAAGGAGGGCCAGAGGUUGAACAAAGGAAGUGGGGUGACUUUGCAGAGGACAAAUCUGAUCUAUCGAGGUUUUCAUAAGUUCAGCUCUGGAAUAGAAUCCAAGCAUAAUGUAAGUCCUAGUAACUGAAGCAGUCUUUUAGACCGGGAAACAGGACCAGGGGAGCGAAGGUCCUUCCAAUUUAAACACUCUCAAAAGGCUGUGUAAUUGCUUUCUGAUAGGAGAGGACUCUGGCGGUGGAAAGACUAUUGUUACCACAGAUCAUUUGUCUCUUAAGAUGUAGCCUCUGAAGAAAGAGUGACUGUCUACCGUAGGCUGCUGGGUGCUUGGGGGAAAGACUUAGGUAAGCUCAGAGCGGACAGAAGAUCGUUUUCGGCCCUACACUCCCAAGCCAGGGAGAGAGGCUGGGGAAUGGUAGGAGCAGAUUUGUGUAAAGGGGGCUGGCACUGUGUAGAUAGAGGUUCAGCCUUAGGGAGGCUGCAUUUUGGAGCUGGGACUCAGCUGAUUGUCAUACCUGGUGAGUAGGUUUCUUUCUACUCCAGGGAAACAUUACCAUGAAGAAAUCUAAAAGGGAGACAAAUUAAUUUCAUUAUCGC
rnacentral:lncRNA from 1 species